rnacentral:rRNA from 1 species
UAGGGAAUCUUCCGCAAUGGACGAAAGUCUGACGGAGCAACGCCGCGUGAGUGAAGAAGGAUUUCGGUUCGUAAAACCCUGUUGUUAGGGAAGAAAAAAUGUAUAGUAACUAUAUACAAAAGAGACGGUACCUAACCAGAAAGCCACGGCUAACUACGUGCCAGCAGCCGCGGUAAUACGUAGGUGGCAAGCGUUGUCCGGAAUUAUUGGGCGUAAAGCGCGCGCAGGUGGUUUAGAAAGUCUGAUGUGAAAGCCCACGGCUCAACCGUGGACGGUCAUUGGAAACUAAUAAACUUGAGUGCAGGAGAGAAAAGUGGAAUUCCUAGUGUAGCGGUGAAAUGCGUAGAGAUUAGGAAGAACACCGGUGGCGAAAGCGGCUUUUUGGCCUGCAACUGACACUGAGGCGCGAAAGCGUGGGGAGCAAACAGG